rnacentral:rRNA from 1 species
UACGUAGGGGGCAAGCGUUGUCCGGAUUUAUUGGGCGUAAAGAGCGUGUAGGCGGUUUGGUAGGUCCGUUGUGAAAACUCGAGGCUCAACCUCGAGACGCCGGCGGAAACCAUCAGGCUAGAGUCCGGAAGAGGAGAACGGAAUUCCCAGUGUAGCGGUGAAAUGCGCAGAUAUUGGGAAGAACACCAGUGGCGAAGGCGGUUCUCUGGGACGGUACUGACGCUGAGACGCGAAAGCGUGGGGAGCGAACAGG